GUUGAGGUGGCAGAUUUAAGUGCAUUAGAUUUAAGCUCUAAAUAUGAAUUAUUAAAAUUCUCUUGACU
rnacentral:tRNA from 1 species